GACGAACGCUGGCGGCGUGCCUAAUACAUGCAAGUUGAGCGCUGAAGGUUGGUACUUGUACCAACUGGAUGAGCAGCGAACGGGUGAGUAACGCGUGGGGAAUCUGCCUUUGAGCGGGGGACAACAUUUGGAAACGAAUGCUAAUACGGAAUAAAAACUUUAAACACAAGUUUUAGGUUUGAAAGAUGAAAUUGCAUCAAUAAAAGAUGAUCCCGCGUUGUAUUAGCUAGUUGGUGAGGUAAAGGCUCACCAAGGCGAUGAUACAUAGCCGACCUGAGAGGGUGAUCGGCCACCUUGGGACUGAGACACGGCCCAAACUCCUACGGGAGGCAGCAGUAGGGAAUCUUCGGCAAUGGACGAAAGUCUGACCGAGCAACGCCGCGUGAGUGAAGAAGGUUUUCGGAUCGUAAAACUCUGUUGGUAGAGAAGAACGUUGGUGAGAGUGGAAAGCUCAUCAAGUGACGGUAACUACCCAGAAAGGGACGGCUAACUACGUG
rnacentral:rRNA from 1 species